GAUCUGACCCUUGACUUACCAUAUUUUAUCCCAUCCCUACCACCUUUUUAAUAGGGCUUUAAGCCGAAGACAUUUUUAUCUUUUCAGGUUUAAUCCUGUACAUAUUUAUUAAAACUAUAUUACAUAUUUGGCAAAAAAAAACAAUUCAUUCCAUUGUAAUUUGAAUCAAAAUCUAACAAUUUACAGCGAAUUAUAAUAUAAAAAUUUCAGAAAAAAAAAACAAAGAAUUGCCAAUAAAAAUCAAUUUUCGAAAGUAAUCUUUUCUUUUUGUACUUUUAGGGCUUAACGGCGGGCACCCAGGGUGUAGAACCUUGACGGCAGCUUGUGACUAAGGCUUUUUCCCAAAACAUGAGGACGAACAAAGGAAUGUAGGUCGAUACCACAUUACAACGACGAUCUAAACAAUGCCUGGUAACCUAACCUUGAAUUGAGCUCAGUUCAAUGUCGCGUACCUGCAUACCAACACAAAGAAAAACCGCGGAAUUUAAUUAUGUAGCUUAGUCGUCCGUCUGUCUGUCCGGAGUUAAAUAAGUUGCAGUGUCAAUUGGGAAUGAUACCAAGCCACGCUGGAGCAGCAAUGGCGUAAACUCUGCGCCUCCCUCGAUGGAUUGGAUGGGCGAUGGUGUGGCUUGUAGGCUCCAAUUCUUCAUGAAUUUUUAGGUUUAAGAUUUAUAUUCAUUGCUUUAGAAUUUUAGUCAAUUGUUUUGGUUUUUUUUUCAAUAUUGUUACAUUGUUUUCAAACUUUGUUUAAUUUUAAAAAAAGUUCAAUUUUCUUUUAAUUUUCAAUUUUUAUGAAAACUAUUUGUUUUGUUAUAAAUUUCCUUUCAAUUUUUAGCCUUUUUUUUCGUUUAAUGUUGCUUAAUUAUUUAAAGGCUUCAUAUUUUCUUUAAAAUAGAUUUUAUUUUGUGUUGUUUGUGUAUGUGUUUCAACAAAUAAACCAGAUGAAUUCACUUCUCAAAAACUUUGGUUGUUUUUUUUUCUUCGACGGUUACAGGGAGCCACGCAUCCAAUCUUCUUCGCAGGCAAAAUCAAAAAGGAAAGAUUUUUCUUACAAUUUUUGCCAGGAAAUUCUGGCUGCCAUUUUCCUCGCUUAAUUUUUCCAUUUUCUUUUUACAUUAUUCCCUAAUAUUGACAUUUAAGUAAUUGGAAUAAUCAGCUGUUUUUUAGUAAUUGUUCUUCUUCUUCUUCUAGCUAUCAAUUAUUUUCAGGGUUACCCCUUUUAAAGGCGCACACCACAAAGCCAACUAUCCUGCUGAUAUCCUUAUCGAAGGAUAGGGGGAAAAAAAGUGCGACCUUUGGUUUAAAAAAAUGCAAAAAAAAAAAAAAUCAAUGGUUUGAUAGGGUAUUAAAAAAAAUCGGUGUUUGGC